rnacentral:rRNA from 1 species
GAUGAACGCUGGCGGCGUGCCUAAUACAUGCAAGUCGAGCGAAUGGAUUAAGAGCUUGCUCUUAUGAAGUUAGCGGCGGACGGGUGAGUAACACGUGGGUAACCUGCCCAUAAGACUGGGAUAACUCCGGGAAACCGGGGCUAAUACCGGAUAACAUUUUGAACCGCAUGGUUCGAAAUUGAAAGGCGGCUUCGGCUGUCACUUAUGGAUGGACCCGCGUCGCAUUAGCUAGUUGGUGAGGUAACGGCUCACCAAGGCAACGAUACGUAGCCGACCUGAGAGGGUGAUCGGCCACACUGGGACUGAGACACGGCCCAGACUCCUACGGGAGGCAGCAGUAGGGAAUCUUCCGCAAUGGACGAAAGUCUGACGGAGCAACGCCGCGUGAGUGAUGAAGGCUUUCGGGUCGUAAAGCUCUGUUGUUAGGGAAGAACAAGUGCUAGUUGAAUAAGCUGGCACCUUGACGGUACCUAACCAGAAAGCCACGGCUAACUACGUGCCAGCAGCCGCGGUAA